GAUGAACGCUAGCGGCAGGCUUAACACAUGCAAGUCGAGGGGCAGCACGUCUUCGGAUGGUGGCGACCGGCGCACGGGUGAGUAACGCGUAUGCAAUCUACCUUUUACAGGGGCAUAGCCCGGGGAAACCCGGAUUAAUAUCCUAUAGUACCAUUAUAUAGCAUUAUAUUAUGGUUAAAGUUUCGGCGGUAAAAGAUGAGCAUGCGUCCUAUUAGCUUGAUGGUAAGGUAACGGCUUACCAUGGUUAUGAUAGGUAGGGGUCCUGAGAGGGAGACCCCCCACACUGGUACUGAGACACGGACCAGACUCCUACGGGAGGCAGCAGUGAGGAAUAUUGGACAAUGGGCGCAAGCCUGAUCCAGCCAUGCCGCGUGCAGGAAGACGGCCCUAUGGGUUGUAAACUGCUUUUAUACGGGAAGAAACACCCCUUCGUGAAGGGACUUGACGGUACCGUAUGAAUAAGGAUCGGCUAACUCCGUGCCAGCAGCCGCGGUAAUACGGAGGAUCC
rnacentral:rRNA from 1 species